rnacentral:sRNA from 1 species
AAAACCGAUAGAGGCAGAGUUUGGAGAGAGCAAAGACAUAGUGAAUUGGGUGAGCAACAAUCUGAAGAGCAAAGAGAGUGUGAUGGAGAUUGUGGACAAGAAGAUAGGAGAAAUGUAUAGAGAAGACGCGGUCAAGAUGCUGAGGAUUGCGAUCAUC